AACUGGUUUAGUGGCGCACGGGUGCGUAACGCGUAUGCAACCUACCUUAAACUGGGGGAUAGCCCGAGGAAACUCGGAUUAAUACCGCAUAAUACUAUUUGAUGGCAUCUGAAGAUAGUUAAAGAUUUAUUGGUUUAAGAUGGGCAUGCGUGCCAUUAGCUAGUUGGAGAGGUAACGGCUCACCAAGGCAACGAUGGCUAGGGGUUCUGAGAGGAUGAUCCCCCACACUGGUACUGAGAUACGGACCAGACUCCUACGGGAGGCAGCAGUAGGGAAUAUUGGGCAAUGGACGGAAGUCUGACCCAGCCAUGCCGCGUGCAGGAAGACGGCCUUCUGGGUUGUAAACUGCUUUUAUAUAGGAAGAAAACACCCAUGCGUGGGAAACUGACGGUACUAUAUGAAUAAGCACCGGCUAACUCCGUGCCAGCAGCCGCGGUAAUACGGAGGGUGCAAGCGUUGUCCGGAUUUAUUGGGUUUAAAGGGUGCGUAGGCGGCCCGUUAAGUCCGUGGUGAAAGCCUCCAGCUCAACUGGAGAACUGCCAUGGAUACUGGCGGGCUUGAGUACAGACGAGGUUGGCGGAAUUGAAGAUGUAGCGGUGAAAUGCAUAGAUAUCUUCAAGAACACCGAUUGCGUAGGCAGCUAACUAGGCUGUAACUGACGCUGAGGCACGAAAGCGUGGGGAGCGAACAGGAUUAGAUACCCUGGUAGUCCACGCCGUAAACGAUGAUUACUCGAUGUUGGCGAUACACAGUCAGCGUCUUAGCGAAAGCGUUAAGUAAUCCACCUGGGGAGUACGCCCG
rnacentral:rRNA from 1 species